rnacentral:rRNA from 1 species
GAUGAACGCUAGCGGCAGGCUUAAUACAUGCAAGUCGAGGGGUAGCAAGAUUGUAGCAAUACAAUUGUUGACGACCGGCAAACGGGUGCGGAACACGUACACAACCUUCCUACAAGUGGGGAAUAGCCCAGAGAAAUUUGGAUUAAUACCCCGUAACAUAGCGAUGUGGCAUCACAUUGCUAUUAUAGCUUCGGCGCUUGUUGAUGGGUGUGCGGCUGAUUAGAUAGUUGGCGGGGUAACGGCCCACCAAGUCUACGAUCAGUAGCUGAUGUGAGAGCAUGAUCAGCCACACGGGCACUGAGACACGGGCCCGACUCCUACGGGAGGCAGCAGUAAGGAAUAUUGGACAAUGGACGCAAGUCUGAUCCAGCCAUGCCGCGUGAAGGAUUAAGGUCCUCUGGAUUGUAAACUUCUUUUAUAAGGGACGAAAAAAGGCCUUUCUAGAUCGUCUGACGGUACCUUAUGAAUAAGCACUGGCUAACUCCGUGCCAGCCGCCGCCGUAAUAC